CGCCCCCAGGGUGAAGGUGGGCCUGACGCCUGGGCCGCAUCCUGCGGCCUCACCAUUGGCCGCCGGCAACGCUUUGCCACUUAAUUGGAGAGAGGGGAUGUCCAUCAGCGUCACGCUCCGAGGCGAGGAGGCGAAAUGAGGGGAAAGACGACUUCCCUCCGGAGCGCGGACGGGCCUGCUGGGACAGUGCGGGUCGCGGGCAGAGGCGCCGGGCGGGGGCUCGCCGUCCAGCGGAACGCCGGGAAGGAGUCACUUCCAGGCGAAGGUUCUGCUUCCGGUGCAGGCGGCGGUUGAGUUGCCGUGGCAACGCAGUGCGCGGGCUCCGGUUUCCUGCGCUGGGGGUGGGAGCGGAGCUGGAGUGGGAGUGGGUCGGCCUUUCCCAGCUUAGAUUCAUUGAUUCCAGGUAAAUCAGAAGAACAAGAAUCAGGAACAGAAAUAUAUAGGAAACCCUGUAAUGCCGAAGCAGAACUGUUGUUUCAGAAGUCAAGCAUUUGGUGCACUUAACAAUAGAAAAUGUAUUAUUUCCAAAAUCACCUAACUCUUACUCAUGCUCUUAUAGUAAGUUGUGUUUUUCAAAUAAAUAUUGGCGAUUUGUUCCUGAAAACCAAAA